rnacentral:rRNA from 1 species
UACGGAGGAGGCUAGCGUUGUCCGGAAUUACUGGGCGUAAAGCGUACGUAGGCGGCUUUGCAAGUUAGAGGUGAAAGCCCGGGGCUCAACUCCGGAAUUGCCUUUAAGACUGCAUCGCUAGAAUCAUGGAGAGGUGAGUGGAAUUCCGAGUGUAGAGGUGAAAUUCGUAGAUAUUCGGAAGAACACCAGUGGCGAAGGCGACUCACUGGACAGGUAUUGACGCUGAGGUACGAAAGCGUGGGGAGCAAACAGG